rnacentral:rRNA from 1 species
CCUACGGGUGGCAGCAGUGAGGAAUAUUGGUCAAUGGCCGUAAGGCUGAACCAGCCAAGUAGCGUGAGGGAAGACUGCCCUAUGGGUUGUAAACUUCUUUUAUGCGGGGAUAAAGGUGUCCACGUGUGGCUGUUUGCAGGUACCGCAUGAAUAAGGACCGGCUAAUUCCGUGCCAGCAGCCGCGGUAAUACGGAAGGUCCGGGCGUUAUCCGGAUUUAUUGGGUUUAAAGGGAGCGUAGGCCGGUCUUUAAGCGUGCCGUGAAAUGGUGUGGCUCAACCAUGAGAGUGCGGCGCGAACUGGGGACCUUGAGUGCGCGGAAGGCAGGCGGAAUUCGUGGUGUAGCGGUGAAAUGCUUAGAUAUCACGAAGAACCCCGAUUGCGAAGGCAGCCUGCCGCAGCGUUACUGACGCUGAAGCCCGAAAGCGCGGGUAUCGAACAGGAUUAGAUACCCUAGUAGUC